rnacentral:rRNA from 1 species
GAUGAACGCUGGCGGCGUGCCUAAUACAUGCAAGUCGAGCGAACAGACGAGGAGCUUGCUCCUCUGACGUUAGCGGCGGACGGGUGAGUAACACGUGGAUAACCUACCUAUAAGACUGGGAUAACUUUGGGAAACCGGAGCUAAUACCGGAUAAUAUAUUGAACCGCAUGGUUCAAUAGUGAAAGACGGCUUUGCUGUCACUUAUAGAUGGAUCCGCGCCGCAUUAGCUAGUUGGUAAGGUAACGGCUUACCAAGGCGACGAUGCGUAGCCGACCUGAGAGGGUGAUCGGCCACACUGGAACUGAGACACGGUCCAGACUCCUACGGGAGGCAGCAGUAGGGAAUCUUCCGCAAUGGGCGAAAGCCUGACGGAGCAACGCCGCGUGAGUGAUGAAGGUCUUCGGAUCGUAAAACUCUGUUAUUAGGGAAGAACAAAUGUGUAAGUAACUAUGCACGUCUUGACGGUACCUAAUCAGAAAGCCACGGCUAACUACGUG